GAAAAAGCUGAGAGAUGUCAGACUGACAGCCAGUGAAAUGGACAUUCCCCAGCUGGCUAUUCUCACCAAAGUUGAUGAAGCCUGUCCUGCGGCAAAACAGGAUCCCAAAAACAUCUACAAGAGCAAGUACCUGAAAGAACAGGUAAAUCUUUUCUGUUGGUCGACAAAUUUAGCCAGCUGCUGGGACUCCCAGUGAACU